rnacentral:lncRNA from 1 species
UGGGAACGGCGCCACCCGGGCCCCAACCCGCUGGACCCUCAGGACCCCAGCCCCGACGCCUACUGCAACCUGGUCAUCCUGGCUGUGCCCAACAGGGAUGCUGCUGAGGAGUCCUGUGCACUCAUCUGUCAGGUUUUCCAGAUCAUCUAUGGGGACCAGAGCAUCGAGUGUGUGGACCGGGCCGGCUACCACUACAUGUCCACACCUGAGCGGCCGUGGCUCUGCAGCCGCAGUGAGAGCUGCCAUACAGAUGGGACUUACGCCUAUGACGCCGACUUCAGCUGCUGCAGCUCCUUCAACGGUUCCCAGGACACAUUUGAAGCGUGCUACAGUGGUACAUCCACUCCUUCUUUCCACGGCUCACACUGCAGUGGCAGUGACCACAGCGGCCUGAGCCUUGAGCAGCUGCAGGAUUACAUGAUCACGCUCCGGAGUAAGCUGGGGUCCUCUGAGAUCCAGCAGUUUGCACUGCUCCUGCGGGAGUACCGGCUGGGACUGCACAUCCAGGACUUCUGUGCCGGCCUGCUGAAGCUCUACGGAGACCACCGCAAGUUCCUGCUCCUGGUCUGUAACCAGGCUCUGCUUCUGGAACUCAAGACCAUUGUGUGAUACCAUGAAUGUGGAGAAGAAGAAGAAAAAAGCAUGUGGAGAAGGUGGAAGAGAGGAUGGGGCAGAGGCCAUUCUGCCAGUGCUUUCAUUCAUGGCAAAGCAAGUCUUCAAGUCAUUCUCACACCGUGCCGUAAGGGAACGUGGAUGAGGGUGUCCACUGUGGCACUGUUUACACGAGUUCAAAACUGUACAGUCUAGGUGUCUGUGACCAGGAGAAUGAAAAACAAACUGUAGAGGAUAUAAACAAUGACUCCAGGGCUGUGACCUUCAACAGAUAGGAACAGCAGCUAUAAAGUGGAAAAA